UCAAAAUUUGUAAACAUGGUUGAAAACAGUUAAAUGUGGAAUCAUGGUGCGAAAAUAUAUCAGAACAUCCGAAAAGUGGUCACAGACCAGCUUGAACUCGGCCACCGAAGCAGCAAAGACAAGUACGACAGUGUGACAAGUAUCCUUAGUGCAUUGUGUCCCGCGAGAAACACUUAUUUCGUUCUGCAGAUCCUUUGCUGCUCCAUAUUUCUCACCCUUUCAAUAGUCAAAAGCAAUUAGCCGGAAUAGAUUGGCUGGCUGGUUUUUGAAAGUGUCACUCACAAAUCUCACUUCGGACACCAGAAGCAACGUCCGCCGGCAGGACUAAAUGAUUCAAUCGCGUUGCAGUCGGGAAAUUCUACGAUUUACUGGAGGAGGUACAGCAGACAUACAACACUCCACCAGAAAGGCAAUUCAACGUCGAUAAAACAUCAGUGAUUCGGGUGCAGACCAAAAAUUCCCUAAUGUGCACCCGUGGCCGAGUGGUUAGCAUCUCACAUUAUCAUGCCGGGUGUUCGGGUUCGAUUCCCGUUCUGGCCGGGGGGGAUUUUUCGUCAGAGAAAUUUCCUUUGACUCGCACUGUGGUCACGCGUAUUCUUGAGCUUGCCCCUCGGAUUACAUUCAAGGCGUGUUGUUUGGCUUAAGAAAUCUCAACUAAGUAUUAAUGAAUGACGCUAGUUCAUGCAUACGUUGAGACGGCAAAAGUUCCACAGGGAACGUUAACGCCAUUCAAGAAGAAGAAGAAAGAGGAAGACCAAAAAUUCCAAAAUCCUAGCAAUGCGGAGAAAAGGCAGAUGAGCGCUGAGUGCUGAGCAAGGAAUAACCAUUAUAGAAUAUUCCUUAUGUUGCUACUGUGGGACACAAUUCAGUUCCUCUACGGGUGGCCAUAAACGGAACCAAUGCACAGAUAUUCUCUGUUCCUGAUUUGAGCAACGUAAAAUUGUAGUCCAAUCACUUUGAUCAUAUUGUAUUUUUUUUACAUGCAAACUGAAUGAAAUCCAAUCAAAUACACGUGAAAGUUGCUAAAUAGAAGAA